GAUGAACGCUAGCGGCAGGCCUAACACAUGCAAGUCGAGGGGUAGAACACUUCGGUGUUUGAGACCGGCGCACGGGUGCGUAACGCGUAUGCAAUCUACCUUAUACAGGGGAAUAGCCCAGAGAAAUUUGGAUUAAUGCCCCAUAGCAUUACGACUUGGCAUCAAGAUGUAAUUAAAGUUCCAACGGUAUAAGAUGAGCAUGCGUCCCAUUAGUUAGUUGGUAAGGUAACGGCUUACCAAGACAAUGAUGGGUAGGGGUCCUGAGAGGGAGAUCCCCCACACUGGUACUGAGACACGGACCAGACUCCUACGGGAGGCAGCAGUGAGGAAUAUUGGUCAAUGGUCGCAAGACUGAACCAGCCAUGCCGCGUGCAGGAAGACGGUCCUAUGGAUUGUAAACUGCUUUUAUACAGGAAGAAACCCUCCCACGUGUGGGAGCUUGACGGUACUGUAGGAAUAAGGAUCGGCUAACUCCGUGCCAGCCGCCGCAGUAACAC
rnacentral:rRNA from 1 species